rnacentral:rRNA from 1 species
CAGAUUGCAGGCUGCAACUCGCCUGCAUGAAGUCGGAAUUGCUAGUAAUCGUGGAUCAGCAUGCCACGGUGAAUACGUUCCCGGGCCUUGUACACACCGCCCGUCACACCAUGGGAGUCGGUAACACCCGAAGCCUGUAGUCUAACCGCAAGGAGGACGCAGUCGAAGGUGGGAUUGAUGACUGGGGUGAAGUCGUAACAAGGUAGC